CAGCCGCCGCGGGAAUACGAGGGGGGCAAGCGUUGUUCGGAUUUACUGGGCGUAAAGCGCACGUAGGCGGAUCGAUCAGUCAGGGGUGAAAUCCCGGAGCUCAACUCUGGAACUGCCUUUGAUACUGUCGAUCUGGAGUAUGGAAGAGGUGAGUGGAAUUCCGAGUGUAGAGGUGAAAUUCGUAGAUAUUCGGAGGAACACCAGUGGCGAAGGCGGCUCACUGGUCCAUUACUGACGCUGAGGUGCGAGAGCGUGGGGAGCAAACAGGAUUAGAUACCCCUGUAGUCCCUGUCUCUUAUAC
rnacentral:rRNA from 1 species